GACGAACGCUGGCGGCGUGCCUAACACAUGCAAGUCGAACGGAAAGACCCUGCUCUUGUGGGGUGCUCGAGUGGCGAACGGGUGAGUAAAACGUGAGUAUCCUGCACUUGUCUUUGGGAUAACUUCACGAAACUGGGGCUAAUAUCGGAUAGGAGCUCCUGCUGCACGGUGGGGGUUGGAAAGUUUCGGCGGUUGUGGAUGGACUCGCCGCUUAUCAGCUGGUUGGUGGAGUAGUUGCUUACCAAGGCUUUGACGGGUAGCCGGCCUGAGAGCGUGACCGGCCACAAUGGGACUGAGAUAGGGAGCAGACUGGUACGGGACGCAGCAGUGGGGAGUAUUACACAGUGAGCGGGAGCCAGAUGCAGCAGCGCCGCGUGCGGGAUGCUGGCCUUCGGGUUGUAAACCGCUUUCGACUGUGACGUAGCGGUAGUGACGGUAAUGGGUAAGGAAGCACCGGCUAACUACGUG
rnacentral:rRNA from 1 species